CUUGAAACCCCACAUUUUCCUCUAGGCCUCCCAUUUGCUAAACUGAAAAACUCACUAAACUAAGACUUCCCUUCUAUCGUCUCCUAUUUCCAUCAUAACCAUUUUUGUGCGACAAGUAAUAAUGAACUCCCAACUCAAAUGUUCAAUUUUUUCGAAAUGGUUCAGCAGAUAAAAGACCACACCACUUAAAUUGAUGCACCAACCAUUGAAGAAUUCUGAAUUCUCAAGGUUAAAUCAAGAGCCAAGGUUGUUUGUUCUCAGCUGUACAUAUCUCUAUUCACUAUCAAGUGGAGUGGUCUUUUCUCCGGAUGUCCCCCAAACAUGUCUUGCUGCAGAAAUUUUCAAAUCAAAUUGGGUUUUUACUCCUUAACUGUAAGCUACAUGUUAAUCCAAUUCAUCAGGUGCAGAAUCAAUUACUAUGAGACAGUUAUUCGAAAUACUCCAGAGCAGAACAUGCUGGGGGACAAACAAACAAUGUUGGCUCUUGAGUUUGAUCAGAGAACUCAGAAUUCUUAAUGGUGGGUGCAUUAAUCCUACUUCUCUGAUAGAUGCAACAAAAUUCAGAACACUUCUAUUUAAAGCAUUGGAAUUUCCCCUCACACAACUUAAGAGUAUGUUUGGUCACUUGCUUAUGUUACUUAUAAGAACGGGAGAAAAAAAAUAUGAGGGGAUACUUUUUCUCUCUUCUGCUUAUAAUUAAAAUAAGCAAGUAACAAAACAUGCUCUUACUGCACUGGAAUAACAGCCCCCAACCCCAUCACCCCAACCCAAAAAAAAGAUUAUCUUCCAAUUUUUGCACCUACCGUAUCAAGCUCAUCAUCCUCCAGAUGGCUCGAGUAAGAUUUUUCUGCCUCUUCCCAUAAUCCCAUGGCUUCAAGCAACAAUGCUUCCAGCCUACCUGUGAUCAUGUCACAAUAAAACUUAUAAUAUGAGCAAUAUAGAGCCAUUUUUACGAACUUAAGAAACAAUUAGUAGACAAAAUUAAGCUCCUAUUUGGUUCAGCUAAAAAAGCUAAUUAAAAUCUAAGUCAAAGUGGACAAUUAAUUUUAACCACAUAUUUCAUGGACCCACAAAUUUUCAACCACAUAUUCUAUCAGCAUUUAUCAAAAUCUACUAAUUUUUAUCUAAACCAAACAGGGGCUAAAUAAACCAUUGACAUCAGCUUACCAAAACAGUUGUCAACCUCA
rnacentral:lncRNA from 1 species